GAGACUUGAGAUAUUGCAGAUCGGGUUGAGGAAGGUCAAAAUAAUUAGUCAUUGGAGAUGAUAUGAGGAAAGGAAGGAGGGGGAGGUUGGGGGAGUGGGUGCAACAGAAACAGUUCUAGUGUUGGAGCCGAGGAAGCCAACUCUGAAACAUUUGGACCUUUGUUGUCUGACAUUGCUUUUGCCACUCCUUCUUCCUUCCUCCCACCUUUGCCUUCCCCACCACCUCCUCCAAACUCCCCUGCCUUCUAUCUCUGGCCCCACUGAUGACCCCUCCAUGUGAGUCGUAGGCUUUUACUACCCAUGAUUUCUUUUCUCCAAGCAAAAGAGAGAAGAGUUUAUUUCAUUCUCAGCAGCAUCCCUGGCCAGCCUCGUCAAAGGCUGUCAAAUAAACACAUUGCUAGGAGGAUCACCUCAACCUGUAGGAACUUCCUUCCUGCCAAGAAGCUGGUUCAUUCAUCACCAAGCAUCAUCAUCAUGGAAUUCUCACCCUGCUGGAGGUUCGAGCCAAGACAUAGAAAGAGGACAUUACCUGGGGCAGGAAUCAAUUGCCUAUCACUGGGGAUGCCUGCAGAUCAUUGUCCAGAGUGGCUGCUGUUCACUGAGUGUUUCCUCUG
rnacentral:lncRNA from 10 species